UAGACAGGAGGUCCAAAAGUUCAUGAAAAUGUCAAACUCAGAGCAAAUAAGCAGCUUGAAAUCAAGGCUUUGAAUCAUGGGCUUUAGCAGAUGUUUGAUAUUCAAGUUGAAAUAGGAGAAAUAUAAUCCUACCUGGUUUGAUGGCAAAUUCAGCAAGUUGGUUGGCUCACAGCAUUGAAGAAUGAAGUCACAAAUCAAAAGAAGUUCAAAAAGUUUUCUUUAAAAAAAAAAAGACAGAAUAGCCCUGCCUUUGCAGGAGUGGUCUUCAGUGUUUAGGCCAUAGAUGUAUUGUCAGGGGUCAUUUAUACAGCAAAGUCAGAAUGUGAGUACAGUGUGGGUCUCAAACUACAAUCAACCUUUAAGCUUAUAGGUGCUUAACUAAUAUUAUUCAGAAGGGUAGCAAGGCACCCUGAAAAGGUAUGCAGAAAGAGCCAAGGCAUUUUGUGGGAAUAAAAGUCCAGUUGUUCUGGUCAUUGAGUAUGGUAAUAGAUGCCUAUCUGGACUUCCUGGGGAAGGUGGUGAUAACUGUAGUACAUUUCAAGCUAUUGUUUGUUAUAGCAUAGCUCUAUCCAUUGCACCUUAUUUCUGUUCUGUUUGACUGCACUGCCUCUCCUUUCCUCUUUCCCCCUUCCCCCUUCCUAUCUAUCUAGGUUAAGUUUCAAUUUCCUGAAGGGCCGUAAAAGCCUUAGUUUUCAGUUUCUUGUAACCCCCUUCCCUACCCGUGGUCUAUAAAAAAUGUGUUGUUCUUCAGACAAUGCUUAACUUCAAGGACAUUUCAGGAAGUUCUGUAAAGCCCAGAUGUGUCAGCAAUUACAACAUUCCUGCAGUUUCCAGCUUUAAAAGCCUCUCCCCCCAACUGUGAGGAGCAUGGUCUUUGGGUCGAUCCUAAGGAGACUGUGCCCCCAGGACUGGAAAUAAAGCCUUUGAUCCCCAUAUUUUAAUUUUUUGCUUCAUUGGAUUUUAUUCUGGGGUCUGAACUAUCACAUUUGGGGUCUUGUCUGGGAGGGGAGCAAGACCCCAGACUCAAUUCUGAACAUUUGAAAGUAAGUACUCUGGGGAGUUUGUUUGGGCCAUAGUCACUUUGUAUUUUUGUACUUUUGGAGGGGAUGCCCUCAAUUUGGGGUGCGGGGAUCUCCUGAGUCUGGAGUCAGUUGGCUUUUGCGAUGCACUCUGUCCAUUUGUGACUCUGCCUUACGUAGCGAACUGCACCAUUGGCUAGUUUGGUAAAUUCCUCCAGAAAUCCAGAAUUGAUUGACUUUUUGAGCAAAUGCCAUUUUUUGCUACAGCGUGUCAUGUCUUUUAUGUUUGGCUUUGUGUCUAUGUGGUCUAAUUGUCCUUUUGGUCACCUGACUGUGACAGAACAUUUUCUCCUAGGAACCACUUCUGCAAGCCAAAAGCCAGCCAGAGCAACUUUAACCAUUCUCUUCAUCUUAUUAAUAAUUGGUCAUUUCCUUCUGACCCUGUCUUUGUCUCUUAAAUUUCCUGACAGGAAAAGUAAACCAGCAGCAUUGUCAACCAUGGGUCAGACCAAGUCUUUUUCCAGUGCUCCCCUCGGCCUUGUGCUUGAUCACUUCAAACAAUUUAAGUGAUGAGCUGAGGGAUAUGGGGAAAAGGUCCAUAAGGCCAGAUUAACAACUUUUGUCACACAGGAGUGGCCAUUGGGGACCCAAGGGGUCUGGCCCCCUUCUGGAUCUUUUGACCUGGGAACUGCGCAGGCUGUUCACCAGUAUGUUUUUGGGCCCCCUGCUCAUCCUGACCAAAUUGUCUGUAUUCAGAUUUAGAUAGAUAUAAUCUAUGAUGCCCCCUCAUGGAUUAAGCCGUCUCAGGAUGGAGUUCUAGAAGCCCUCAAACUGAAAACAAAGGCUGAAGAGGAGGCACCUGGACACAAUGCACCUCCAGUUUUGCCUCCAAGUGAAGACUCUUCUGACCCACUAGACAUUCUUCCCUUGCCCCCUCCCCCGUACCCUGCCCCUAGUCCCCAUCCUGACUCACCACUCCUCCCCGCAUCAUCUUAUCCAAACCCACCACCACCCACGGCUGGAGGGACCUCCAGAACAAGGUCCCGAAGCAGCACCACUGUACCCUUUGCAGGAAGUCCCCACCCCCAAGAGGGGGCUCCAUGUUUCUGUACACUAACUCUGAUCUCUAACUGGAAAACUCAAAACCCCCCUUUCUCAAAGGACCCAGAAACUCUGAUUAACCUUAUAGAAUCUGUUUUCUCUACCCAUAGCCCCACUUGGGAUGACUGUUAGCAGAUCCUGUGCAUUCUUUUUAUGGUCAAGGGAAGAAUGCGUAUCUACACUUUAGGACAAAAGGGAGUUUGGGAUCUGGGUGGAUCUCUAUCCGCUCAUCAGCAGAGAUGUGAACGUCUGUUCCCUUCCUCUCAACCGGAAUAGGACCCCAACACGGAUGGAGGUAAGAAGGCUCUUGAUGAUUAUUGCCUGAGGCUCCUAGAUGCACUUUGUGCCACUGCUAACAAGUCUACCAAUCUGUCUCGAGUGAGUGAGGUAAGACAGUUAGCUGAUGAGUCUCCUGCUAUGUUCUUGGAGCACUUCCUAGAGGCCUACAGAUUACAUGCUCCAAUUUAUCCGUUGGCAUCUGAAAACACUCAAGUGAUUAACAUUGCUUUCGUGUCUCAGUCGGCCCCCCAUGUUAGGAAAAAGUUACAGAAACUUGAGGGAUUUGAAGGGAUGUCCCUCAGCCAGCUGAUAGAGAUAGCACAGAAGGUUUUCAACAAAAGGGAGACCCUACUAGAAGCCACAAAUAAAAAGAUGACUAGGAAUUGUUUGGUGUAAAAGAAGCUAAAAGAUUGACUAGCAUUGGGAAAAAGGAGAUUAAAGGCCAGUGGCCUCGUUUAGAUAAAGAACAAUGUGCAUAUUGCAAAGAGAUGGGACAUUGGCAUAAAGAUGGCCCAAAGUUAAAGGUCAAGCUAUAAAAAGAGACAAAGGCCCUGUUGUCUCAACAAUGAGGAGGUCAGGGAUCGACACCACCGCCCGGGCCCUGGAUAACUCUUCAAGUGGGAAAGCAACUGGUGGACUUCUUGGUCAAUACAGGAGUCACCUAUUCUGUGCUGACCCAACCUUUAGGAAAGCUAACCAAGAGUUCAGUCAAUGUAAUCAGAGCCACAGCGAGAUGAAAAUUGUACCCAAAAGUGACAGCUAGUUUUGCUUGACCUGGACAUAAACUGGUCCAAGAUGAUUUUCUAUCGGCUCCUGGGUGUCCAGACCCUCUCUUGGGACGAGAUCUCCUCCAUAUAUUGCAAGUGCAUAUUGACUUCUUUACACCUGAGCUAAGACUAAAACUGGGGGUGGAUACAAUUCUGGACUCAGAAGACAUCAGAGUGCUAGCUCUUUUCCCAGUAGGAGAAAAUUACCGCCUACUGGGAAAUUUGUCCAGUGUACCUGAGACAUUAUAAACUGACCUAGAAUUAAAAUUGUUAAGCAAAUGGAAGCAGGAAAUCCCAGAAGUUUGGGCAGAAACCAACCCCCCACCAGGGCUAGCAAUUAACCAGCUGCCCCUUGUGGUGGAGCUCCUACCCUAGGGACACCCCAUUUGCAACACCCGUUAAGACUACAAAGGGAUCAAAGCCUGAAAAUGGAUCAAAGUCCACAUUCAGAGAUUAGAGACAAUGGUAUCUUAAUUCCUUGUGUCUCUCCAAGGAAUACACCUCUACUUCUAGUCCAGAAGCCAGGACAAAUGACUAUUGUCUUGUACAGGAUCUCCAAGAGGGUAAUAGAUGAGUACUGACUCUACACCCAAUGGUGCCUAACCCUUAUACUCUUCUUUAGCCUCUUCAAUCCGGAGAACAACUGGUACUCUGUUUUGGACCUAAAGGGUGUGUUCUUCACUCUGCCCCUCACACAGGAGUUCCAAACUUGUUGAUCUACAGGCCGGAUCAAGUGGCGCUCAGCGUGGGGGCCCCUGGCACGGAGAAGUUAACGAGGGAGCCGUUCGAGAGACAGCCGGCUUAAACCAAAAGUGAAAGCAAAUUAAACCAGAGACCUCGGCCGAGGAAUGAGUAAACUAAAUCAAGGAUUAAAGUUUAAAACAACAGGACAUUAAAUCAAGUGCCGAGACCUGCGCAGACGACUACCCGACGUCCUGCCCGAGUCACGGUGACACAUCUCCUUAGAGCCUUAUGCUGCUUAACCAGCCUUCUUGAGCCACACCACACCCAUGGUGGAUUUUGACCCCUGCCAAACAGACUACAACUGCUGACAGCCAUGCACAAAACCCCAUGACUGUGGAAGAGGCUCUUCUCGGUCUAGAGGAGCAUACGCCAGCCAAAUAGACUACAUCCAGUGUUAUACAAGGCAUGCUCCAAGACACAGAAAAAUGACUUCAUACAGAGACACCAACAAAUGACUGUCAACCCCUUCUCCUUGAUUUUGGGGGGGGGGGAGUUUUUCCCUUACCUAGUCCCACUUUUGGGUCCCCUAGCUGACCUAUUGUUUCUCAUUUCUGUGAGUCUUUUUUUCAGAGGAUUAUGAUGUUCAUUAAUAACCAGAUAGACGCAUUUAUGGCAAAGCCCAUUCAGGUACACUACCAUCAGCUGGAGAUGACAGAUCAACAAACCUACAGGGAAGAAAUUCCCACGAGUGGCCCAUAUGAUGAUGCGGCCUGACUGCCCUGGGGCAAUGGACAGGCAGUCAGAGACGGGCAACUAGGACAUACAUGUUAAUUCCAACGGCCACCUAAGACAGACACAGGACCAACUGCUGUUCUACAAGCCCAUGACGGGUAAGGCCUGGUUGGGUUCAUACAAUGAGGUCCUUGACCUAAGACAUACGCUGUCCUCACAGGGCCUGCCAUACUCUUAAUUAAAUAAUAUAAAAAGGGAGGAGAUGUAGGGAGCUGAGUGACAGGCAUUGCUGCCUAGAUGUCUCUCUCUCUCUCUCCUAUGGGCACUGCGUCUGCCUACAUUAACCAUAAUCCUCUUCUGCUUACGUCACUUGUCCAGAUGUGAUGGUAACCCUGUUGUAUUCAUCUGUUUAACCUCUUCCUGUCCCAGCUCCCGCCCUUAGCCUAUAAAAGGUGUGAUUAUUUUCUCAAUAAACCGGAGGCUUGAUUGGGUUAACAUCAA